UACGAAGGGGACUAGCGUUGUUCGGAAUUACUGGGCGUAAAGAGUGUGUAGGCGGUGCUCUAAGUUCGGUGUGAAAUCUCCCGGCUUAACUGGGAGGGUGCGCCGGAAACUGGAGUGCUUGAGCGCGGGAGAGGAAAGCGGAAUUCCUGGUGUAGCGGUGAAAUGCGUAGAUAUCAGGAGGAACACCUGUGGUGUAGACGGCUUUCUGGACCGUAGCUGACGCUGAGACACGAAAGCGUGGGUAGCAAACAGG
rnacentral:rRNA from 1 species